GACAAUGGGCGCAAGCCUGAUCUAGCCAUGCCGCGUGAGUGAUGAAGGCCUUAGGGUCGUAAAGCUCUUUCGCCAGGGAUGAUAAUGACAGUACCUGGUAAAGAAACCCCGGCUAACUCCGUGCCAGCAGCCGCGGUAAUACGGAGGGGGUUAGCGUUGUUCGGAAUUACUGGGCGUAAAGCGCGCGUAGGCGGACCAGAAAGUAUGGGGUGAAAUCCCGGGGCUCAACCCCGGAACUGCCUCAUAAACUCCUGGUCUUGA
rnacentral:rRNA from 1 species